rnacentral:rRNA from 1 species
GACGAACGCUGGCGGCGUGCCUAAUACAUGCAAGUUGAGCGAUGAAGAUUGGUGCUUGCACCAAUUUGAAGAGCAGCGAACGGGUGAGUAACGCGUGGGGAACCUGCCUUUGAGCGGGGGACAACAUUUGGAAACGAAUGCUAAUACCGCAUAAUAACUUUAAACAUAAGUUUUAAGUUUGAAAGAUGCAAUUGCAUCACUCAAAGAUGAUCCCGCGUUGUAUUAGCUAGUUGGUGAGGUAAAGGCUCACCAAGGCGAUGAUACAUAGCCGACCUGAGAGGGUGAUCGGCCACAUUGGGACUGGGACACGGCCCAAACUCCUACGGGAGGCAGCAGUAGGGAAUCUUCGGCAAUGGACGAAAGUCUGACCGAGCAACGCCGCGUGAGUGAAGAAGGUUUUCGGUUCGUAAAACUCGGUUGGUAGAGAAGAACGUUGGUGGGAGUGGAAAGCUCAUCAAGUGACGGUAACUACCCAGAAAGGGACGGCUAACUACGUG